AGAGGAGAGAAAGGGACCAGAAGCAGGAGGAACAGAUGAAGUUCACUUUCUCCAUCUGUUUUGUAUUGAGUGAGCUAUUACUAAAAUGCAGGUGUGGGCUGUUGAACUGGGGCCAAUAAGAAUUUGCCGAACUGGCAGCAAUUCCUCGAAAUAGGGCUAUUUACAAUGAAAAUGUUCCUGUUGUGGUGGAAUAAUGACACGAAGAAAGGAGCCAGGCUGAACACUGUGAAGAAAAGUUAAAGUGC
rnacentral:lncRNA from 1 species